rnacentral:rRNA from 1 species
AAAUGAAUUGACGGGGACCCGCACAAGCAGCGGAGCAUGUUGUUUAAUUCGAGGCAACGCGAAGAACCUUACCAAAUCUUGACAUCCCGAUGACCCAUACAGUAAAUGUAUGCUCUACUUCGGUAGCAUCGGAGACAGGUGGUGCAUGGUUGUCGUCAGCUCGUGUCGUGAGAUGUUGGGUUAAGUCCCGCAACGAGCGCAACCCCUAUUUUUAGUUGCCAUCAGGUAAUGCUGGGCACUCUAAAGAGACUGCCGGAGACAAUCCGGAGGAAGGUGGGGAUGAUGUCAAAUCAUCAUGCCCUUUAUGAUUUGGGCUACAAACGUGCUACAAUGGUCGGUACAACAGGUUGCCAAGCCGCAAGGUGGAGCUAAUCCUACAAAGCCGAUCCCAGUUCGGAUUGGGGGCUGCAACUCGCCCCCAUGAAGUUGGAGUUGCUAGUAAUCGCGAAUCAGCAUGUCGCGGUGAAUGCGUUCCCGGGUCUUGUACACACCGCCCGU